rnacentral:rRNA from 1 species
UACGUAGGGUGCGAGCGUUAAUCGGAAUUACUGGGCGUAAAGCGUGCGCAGGCGGUUCGUUAAGUUCGUUGUGAAAGCCCCGGGCUCAACCUGGGAAUGGCAAUGGAAACUGGCGGGCUUGAGUGCGGCAGAGGGGGGGUGGAAUUCCGCGUGUAGCAGUGAAAUGCGUAGAGAUGCGGAGGAACACCGAUGGCGAAGGCAGCCCCCCUGGGCCGACACUGACGCUCAGGCACGAAAGCGUGGGGAGCAAACAGG